GACGAACGCUGGCGGCGUGCCUAAUACAUGCAAGUCGAACGAACCGCGACUGAGUGCUUGCACUUGGUCAAGGUGAGUGGCGAACGGGUGAGUAACACGUGGGUAACCUACCUCAUAGUGGGGGAUAACAGUCGGAAACGACUGCUAAUACCGCAUAGGACAUGGAAUCACAUGAUUCCGUGAGGAAAGGUGGCGCAAGCUAUCGCUAAGAGAUGGACCCGCGGUGCAUUAGCUAGUUGGUAGGGUAACGGCCUACCAAGGCGAUGAUGCAUAGCCGACCUGAGAGGGUGAUCGGCCACAUUGGGACUGAGACACGGCCCAAACUCCUACGGGAGGCAGCAGUAGGGAAUCUUCCGCAAUGGACGCAAGUCUGACGGAGCAACGCCGCGUGAGUGAAGAAGGUCUUCGGAUCGUAAAGCUCUGUUGUUAGAGAAGAACAGCGCAUAGAGUAACUGCUAUGCGUGUGACGGUAUCUAACCAGAAAGCCACGGCUAACUACGUGCCAGCAGCCGCGGUAAUACGUAGGUGGCGAGCGUUGUCCGGAUUUAUUGGGCGUAAAGGGAGUGUAGGCGGUCUUUUAAGUCUGAUGUGAAAGCCCACGGCUCAACCGUGGAGGGUCAUUGGAAACAGGGAGACUUGAGUGCAGAAGAGGAGAGCGGAAUUCCAUGUGUAGCGGUGAAAUGCGUAGAUAUAUGGAGGAACACCAGUGGCGAAGGCGGCUCUCUGGUCUGUAACUGACGCUGAGGCUCGAAAGCGUGGGGAGCAAACAGG
rnacentral:rRNA from 1 species